CAUCUGUAGCUGUAAGAUUCGUAGUUGAAAGGACAUUUUAUGAGCAUGCAUCAGUAUUUCCCAAUGGGACCUAUUCUUUAUUCCCACCCACCACACACUUAAGAACAGCCUAUUAAGACUUUUCAUACCAAAGAAAAACAGGCAAAGAAACAAUAAAAAGUCAGAGCAAAACAAGUAGACAACAGAAAAUCUCCCACAAUCCAUAGCGCACCAAUAAAUAAGCACAAAUGAUGCAGUCAGAGAACCAUUAUAGAAGUAAUCAAUGAGCCAAGCAUAUCAAUACUAUUUUAACUGUCGGCCUAUAAUAUCACUCCAUAAAGCAACAUGAGUUGAUUAAGAAAUCCAACCAUGCUCUUUGGCCUGGACAUAAUUAAUAAAACCAUUUCACAUAAUAUUUUUUUUAAAAAAUUAAUUGGAUUUUUCCAUUUCCUUGACCGAAGUAUAAGUUUCUCCAUAAGGGUCACCACCCAGAUUUGAGAAUGCCGCCACUCCUUUAAAUUAGCUGUUACUAAUUUCCAAUUUUAGGAUACCACCAUAGAGUCAGCAAUUUAAAAAAAGAUACCAACAAACUCUUAUAAAGUAUCUUUUUGUCUCCAUCAUCAGUAAUGGACAGCAUUGCAGUACGUGGACCUGGUAUCAACAGCUGCCCCAUAAUCAAUUGGUGCUCAUAAAUAGCUGCCUUCCAAAACACCUUAAAUAUGCUAAAAUGUACAGUUUUGGCAGGUAUUGUUGAGCUAUCCUACUCAGAGUAUGAGAAGUCAGAUACCACCUAAGAAUCAAUUUAAAUGAAUUGUCUUUAAAUCUUUGGGUAGAAUGAAGCUUUCUCCUAUGCUUUGUCCAUUUUUUCCUCCCUCCCCCUUACCGAUAUAUUUCCCAUGCCUGACAAGUAUACCAGCAGAGUCAGCCAGCAAUAGUUUAUACAGUCCAGACCAGAUAAGACACCUUCGUCUGUAAAUUAAUGUAGAUUUUAAAAAAUUAUUCAAAUAACAUCAGCAACCUAGUAGCUUGCUGCAAGGAUUGACAAAAAGUGCUGAAUUUAAUAUAUUUGUUGCCAUGUACAAAGGAUGUUAUCCAAUUUACACAUAAGUUGUUCAUUUGUGAGAGCCAGUGUGGUGUAGUGGUGGUUAAGAACGGUAGUCUCGUAAUCGGGGGAACCGGGUUCGUGUCUCCGCUCCUCCACAUGCAGCUGCUGGGUGACCUUUGGCCAGUCACACUUCUCUGAAGUCUCUCAGCCCCACUCACCUCACAGAGUGUUUGUUGUGGGGGAGGAAGGGAAAGGAGAAUGUUAGCCGCUUUGAGACUCCUUAAAAGGGAGUGAAAGGCGGGAUAUCAAAUCCAAACUCCUCUUCUUCUUCUUCUUGUAAUUUGCAGUACAGUAAGUAAAGGUAAAGGGACCCCUGACCAUUAGGUCCAGUCGUGGCCAACUCUGGGGUUGCGGCGCUCAUCUCGCUUUAUUGGCCGAGGGAGCCGGCGUACAGCUUCCAGGUCAUGUGACCAGCAUGACUAAGCCGCUUCUGGCAAACCAGAGCAGCACACGGAAAGGCUGUUUACCUUCCCGCAGGAGCGGUACCUAUUUAUCUACUUGCACUUUGACAUGCUUUCGAACUGCUAGGUUGGCAGGAGCAGGGAACGAGCAACGGGAGCUCACCCCAUCGCGGAGAUUCGAACCGCCGACCUUCCGAUCAGCAAGCCCUAGGCUCUGUGGUUUAACCCACAGCACCACCCGCGUCCCUCUUUGCAGUACAGUACAAUGGUGUAAAUAGCUCCAAUUCUGCAAAUGCCCUCCCCCUUCCCAUGCCUUAAAUUGUUUGAAUUGAUCUGAACUAUAAAGCAAUGGAUGAUUUCAUACAGGGGUUAGAGGCAAUAAAAAGAGUGGCAGGUUUUUCUCUCCAAACAUUCAAGUCAGCCAGGAGAAAAGGAACCUAUACUCUUGACAGAUUUACUUUUGGUUGGGAAACCCGUGGCUAAGCCAUUAGGUACUUAGCCAUGAGCUUCCACAUCCAGGUCAGCAUUUCAAAAAGAAACUUUUAAAAUGUAUAUCUAUUACAGUGAUUCAUACUAUUCUAUGGAGAUCGAAUCUAUCGCUCGGAAAUCUGCAUAUAUUCCAGGAUGAGGGUAUAUUGGUUGCUGCAGAAGAAAAGGGGAAGUUUCACAUGUUCGGGCAUAAAUGGUACUUUCAUAUACCUUAUAGGUAAGAACCAAUUAUUCUGUCAAUCAGAAAGAUAACCAUGUGAAGACCAAAUCAAUAUUGACAUACAGCGUGGACAGCCAUGUUGCCAUUGAUUUCAGAAAUACCCUUACGAGCUCUCUUCAGAGUUUGAGUUCACAAUGCAGCUGUGUGUAAUUCAAAACUAUGGAGUAUUUUACAGCUGAGCAACCAGGGAAAAUUCUUUUAUUCAUGUAUUAAGGCUAAAUCCUAUAAAUCUGUGGUCCUUUAUUAGUAACCAAUGCCAUUGUUUCAUGAGUAAAGCCUUUAAUAAGUUCAAAGAGAAUCUCAGUGCUGAAAGUAUAGGGUCUAUACUUUGUCUUAAAACUCAGAAAAGCCACAGAGUUAUCAGAUAUUCUUGUAAGCAUGAUGUAGGGACUUUAUAAACCAGGCCAAACAAUUUCAAGAUUGAAGAGAGUGUUCUUAAUAUAUCAACUGGGAAAUCCCCUCCAUUCACAUGCUCUUGAUUAUAAAAAUGACCUUUCAGUGUUUUAUGAUUGGCAUAAUAUCAUCUCCCAACACAUGGGGAAGGGCCAUAGCUCAGUAGUGGAGCACGUGCUUUGCAUGCAAAAAGCUGCAGAUUCAAUCUCUGGGUAAGACAGAGGGAAACUUUUUUGAGAUCCUGGCAUCCAUUGCCAGUCAGGGUAGACCACCCUGAGCUAGGUGGACAAUUGGUCUGACUCAGUAUGGCACAGCUUGCAAGUUAUGAAAGUUGUUAUUAUCCCCAUAAAUCCAUGUGAAAGGCUACUAAAAUAGAACAGUGGUUUGCUAAUAGUUUGUGGCUGAGGCUUAGAUUUCUAGCCUAUGCAGGUGAAAUCAACAAGCAGGAUGAGGAACCUGUCACCCACUAGAUGUUGGGCUGCAACUCCCCUCAUCCCUGCCCAUUGAUGAUGCUGGCUGAGGCUACUGAGAGUCCAACCACAUCUGGAGGAUCACAGCUUCCCCAGAGCCUCUAAGAAUACAGAAGACUCUGCUUCACACAGUCGCCCUCCUCCACAAGUUGAAGGUAAGGAGCAUGAUGAAGGAAGCACAAAGCUGGUAUUGUAUGCUCAUCCCCAGACCCAUUGCUCACAUGGAACAGAGGAAACUUCCUAUAUAUUGGUCCAUCUAGUUCAGCAUUGUUUACACUGAAGGGGGUCUGAAAUGCUUGGGAUUGAACCUGGGAUCUUCUCAUGAUAUAGGAGAGGGAAACUGGAGAUUGUUUAUGUAUGUGACAACAGCAGCAAGAAUUUUAUUAGCACAAGUAUGGAAAACAGAGAAAACGCCAACAAAGGAAGAAUGGCAAGUUAAGCUUAUGGACUACGCAGAAUUGGCUAAGCUGACAGGAUACACGAGAAAGACAACAUUGAUUUCAAAAAGGAGUGGGAACCAUUUAUAAACUACAUAAAAAGACAGUAUAAAGAUUUGGACCCAUUGGCAGGUUUUAACUAAACUUUCACAACUAUAUAAGAGGUAAAACCAGCAGGGUAUAAAAAUUGUUUAAUAAAUCAAUAUGGAAAUACGGAGGAAACCAAGGAGGGGGGAGGGGAGAAAUGGAUAUAUAAAUUGUUCAAUUAAGAUUUGUGGAAGAUUUGUUGUUAUAAUUC